rnacentral:rRNA from 1 species
UGAAUUGACGGGACCCGCACAAGCAGCGGAGCAUGUGGUUUAAUUCGAAGCAACGCGAAGAACCUUACCAGAUCUUGACAUCCAAUUGACCAUCUUUUAAUCGAGAUUUUGCCUUCGGGUACAAUUGAGACAGGUGGUGCAUGGUUGUCGUCAGCUCGUGUCGUGAGAUGUUGGGUUAAGUCCCGCAACGAGCGCAACCCUUGUGUUUAGUUGCAAACAGGUCAAGCUGUGCACUCUAGACAGACUGCCGUGGACAACACGGAGGAAGUGGGGAUGACGUCAAAUCAUCAUGCCCCUUAUGAUCUGGGCUACACACGUGCUACAAUGGCCGGUACAACGGGCAGCGAAGGAGCGAUCCGGAGCGAAUCCUAAAAAGCCGGUCCCAGUUCGGAUUGCAGGCUGAAACUCGCCUACAUGAAGUUGGAGUUGCUAGUAAUCGCGAAUCAGAAUGUCGCGGUGAAUGCGUUCCCGGGCCUU